GACGAACGCUGGCGGCGUGCUUAACACAUGCAAGUCGAACGGUGAUGCGGAGCUUGCUCUGCGGAUCAGUGGCGAACGGGUGAGUAACACGUGAGCAACCUACCCUUGACUCUGGGAUAACAGUUGGAAACAGCUGCUAAUACCGGAUACGACCCUGGCGGGCAUCUGCUGGGGUGGAAAGCUCCGACGGUCAGGGAUGGGCUCGCGGCCUAUCAGCUUGUUGGUGAGGUGACGGCUCACCAAGGCGACGACGGGUAGCCGGCCUGAGAGGGCGACCGGCCACACUGGGACUGAGAUACGGCCCAGACUCCUACGGGAGGCAGCAGUGGGGAAUAUUGCGCAAUGGGCGAAAGCUGACGCAGCAACGCCGCGUGCGGGAUGACGGCCUUCGGGUUGUAAACCGCUUUCAGCAGGGACGAAGGGUUUCUGACGGUACCUGCAGAAGAAGCACCGGCUAACUACGUGCCAGCAGCCGCGGUGAUACGUAGGGUGCGAGCGUUGUCCGGAAUUAUUGUGGCGUAAAGAGCUUGUAGGCGGUCCGUUGCGUCGGAAGUGAAAACUCAGGGCUUAACCCUGAGCCUGCUUUCGAUACGGGCGGACUUGAGGGAUGUAGGGGAGAACGGAAUUCCUGGUGGAGCGGUGGAAUGCGCAGAUAUCAGGAGGACACCAGUUGCGAAGGCGGUUCUCUGGACAUUUCCUGACGCUGAGAAGCGAAAACUUGGGGGAGCAAACAGGCUUAGAUACCCUGGUAGUCCACGCCGUAACGUGGCACUAGGUGUGGGAUCCAUUCCACGGAUUCCGUGCCGAAGUAACGCAUUAAGUGCCCCGCCUGGGGAGUACGGCCGCAAGGCUAAAACUCAAAGGAAUUGACGGGGGCCGCACAAGCGGCGGAGCAUGCGGAUUAAUUCGAUGCAACGCGAAGAACCUUACCUGGGUUUGACAUAUACCGGAAACAUCUGGAGACAGGUGCCCCGCAAGGUCGGUAUACAGGUGGUGCAUGGCUGUCGUCAGCUCGUGUCGUGAGAUGUUGGGUUAAGUCCCGCAACGAGCGCAACCCUCGUUCUAUGUUGCCAGCGGUUCGGCCGGGAACUCAUAGAAGACUGCCGGGGUCAACUCGGAGGAAGGUGGGGAUGACGUCAAGUCAUCAUGCCCCUUAUGUCCAGGGCUUCACGCAUGCUACAAUGGCUGGUACAAAGGGCUGCAAUACCGCAAGGUGGAGCGAAUCCCAUAAAGCCAGUCUCAGUUCGGAUUGGGGUCUGCAACUCGACCCCAUGAAGUCGGAGUCGCUAGUAAUCGCAGAUCAGCAACGCUGCGGUGAAUACGUUCCCGGGCCUUGUACACACCGC
rnacentral:rRNA from 1 species